GCCUGGGUGGCGGAAUAGGUAGACGCACAGGACUUAAAAUCCUGUGGUGACUUUCACCGUGCGGGUUCGAUUCCCGCCCCAGGCA
rfam:Cetobacterium ceti strain ATCC 700028 genome assembly, contig: EI52DRAFT_scaffold00004.4